AGUCGACGAGUUCUCGUUGAUGAUCGGUGCUUGCACCGAGAUUCACAUGGAACGAGUGGCGGACGGGUGAGUAACACGUGGGUAACCUGCCCUUAAGUGGGGGAUAACAUUUGGAAACAGAUGCUAAUACCGCAUAGAUCCAAGAACCGCAUGGUUCUUGGCUGAAAGAUGGCGUAAGCUAUCGCUUUUGGAUGGACCCGCGGCGUAUUAGCUAGUUGGUGAGGUAAUGGCUCACCAAGGCGAUGAUACGUAGCCGAACUGAGAGGUUGAUCGGCCACAUUGGGACUGAGACACGGCCCAAACUCCUACGGGAGGCAGCAGUAGGGAAUCUUCCACAAUGGACGCAAGUCUGAUGGAGCAACGCCGCGUGAGUGAAGAAGGCUUUCGGGUCGUAAAACUCUGUUGUUGGAGAAGAAUGGUCGGCAGAGUAACUGUUGUCGGCGUGACGGUAUCCAACCAGAAAGCCACGGCUAACUACGUGCCAGCAGCCGCGGUAAUACGUAGGUGGCAAGCGUUAUCCGGAUUUAUUGGGCGUAAAGCGAGCGCAGGCGGUUUUUUAAGUCUGAUGUGAAAGCCCUCGGCUUAACCGAGGAAGCGCAUCGGAAACUGGGAAACUUGAGUGCAGAAGAGGACAGUGGAACUCCAUGUGUAGCGGUGAAAUGCGUAGAUAUAUGGAAGAACACCAGUGGCGAAGGCGGCUGUCUGGUCUGUAACUGACGCUGAAGCUCGAAAGCAUGGGUAGCGAACAGGAUUAGAUACCCUGGUAGUCCAUGCCGUAAACGAUGAAUGCU
rnacentral:rRNA from 1 species